rnacentral:rRNA from 1 species
UGCAAGUGAACGGCAGCAUGGGCUUCGGCCUGAUGGCGAGUGGCGAACGGGUGAGUAAUGCAUCGGAACGCGUCCUGUAAUGGGGGAUAACCUGGCGAAAGCCAGGCUAAUACCGCAUACGUCCUGAGGGAGAAAGCGGGGGAUCGUAAGACCUCGCGUUAUAGGAGCGGCCGAUGUCGGAUUAGCUAGUUGGUGGGGUAAAGGCCUACCAAGGCGACGAUCUGUAGCGGGUCUGAGAGGACGGCCCGCCACACUGGGACUGAGACACGGCCCAGACUCCUACGGGAGGCAGCAGUGGGGAAUUUUGGACAAUGGGGGCAACCCUGAUCCAGCCAUGCCGCGUGAGUGAAGAAGGCCUUCGGGUUGUAAAGCUCUUUCGGCCGGGAAGAAAUCGUGCGGGCUAAUACUCUGCAUGGAUGACGGUACCGGAAGAAGAAGCACCGGCUAACUACGUGCCAGCAGCCGCGGUAAUACGUAGGGUGCGAGCGUUAAUCGGAAUUACUGGGCGUAAAGCGUGCGCAGGCGGUUUUGUAAGACAGGUGUGAAAUCCCCGGGCUUAACCUGGGAACUGCGCUUGUGACUGCAAGACCUUGAGUCCGCCAGAGGGGGGUGGAAUUCCACGUGUAGCAGUGAAAUGCGUAGAGAUGUGGAGGAACACCGAUGGCGAAGGCAGCCCCCUGGGUCGACACUGACGCUCAUGCACGAAAGCGUGGGGAGCAAACAGGAUUAGAUACCUGGUAGUCCACGCCCUAAACGAUGCGAACUAGGUGUUGGGGAAGGAGACUUCUUUAGUACCGUAGCUAACGCGUGAAGUUCGCCGCCUGGGGAGUACGGUCGCAAGAUUAAAACUCAAAGGAAUUGACGGGGACCCGCACAAGCGGUGGAUGAUGUGGAUUAAUUCGAUGCAACGCGAAAAACCUUACCUACCCUUGACAUGUCCGGAACCUGGUGAGAGCUGGGGGUGCCCGAAAGGGAAUCGGAACACAGGUGCUGCAUGGCUGUCGUCAGCUCGUGUCGUGAGAUGUUGGGUUAAGUCCCGCAACGAGCGCAACCCUUGUCAAUUAAUUGCCAUCAUUUAGUUGGGCACUUUAAUGAGACUGCCGGUGACAAACCGGAGGAAGGUGGGGAUGACAGUCAAGUCACUCAUGGCCCUUAUGGGUAGGGCUUCACACGUCAUACAAUGGUCGGUACAGAAGGGUUUCCCCAAGCCGCGAGGUGGAGCCAAAUCCCAGAAAGCCGAUCGUAGUCCGGAUCGGAGUCUGCAACUCGACUCCGUGAAGUCGGAAUCGCUAGUAAUCGCGGAUCAGCAUGUCGCGGUGAAUACGUUCCCGGGUCUUGUACACACCGCCCGUCACACCAUGGGAGUGGGUUCUACCAGAAGUAGUAGCCUAACCGUAAGGAGGC